UACGGAAGGCAGCAGUGGGGAAUAUUGCACAAUGGGCGCAAGCCUGAUGCAGCCAUGCCGCGUGUAUGAAGAAGGCCUUCGGGUUGUAAAGUACUUUCAGCGGGGAGGAAGGCGGUGAAGUUAAUAGCUUCACCGAUUGACGUUACCCGCAGAAGAAGCACCGGCUAACUCCGUGCCAGCAGCCGCGGUAAUACGGAGGGUGCAAGCGUUAAUCGGAAUUACUGGGCGUAAAGCGCACGCAGGCGGUCUGUCAAGUCGGAUGUGAAAUCCCCGGGCUUAACCUGGGAACUGCAUUCGAAACUGGCAGGCUAGAGUCUGUAGAGGGGGUAGAAUUCCAGGUGUAGCGGUGAAAUGCGUAGAGAUCUGGAGGAAUACCGGUGGCGAAGGCGGCCCCUGGGCAAAGCUGACGCUCAGGUGCGAAAGCGUGGGGAGCAAACAGGGAUUAGAUACCCGGU
rnacentral:rRNA from 1 species